rnacentral:rRNA from 1 species
UACGAAGGGGGCUAGCGUUGCUCGGAAUCACUGGGCGUAAAGGGCGCGUAGGCGGCGUUUUAAGUCGGGGGUGAAAGCCUGUGGCUCAACCACAGAAUGGCCUUCGAUACUGGGACGCUUGAGUAUGGUAGAGGUUGGUGGAACUGCGAGUGUAGAGGUGAAAUUCGUAGAUAUUCGCAAGAACACCGGUGGCGAAGGCGGCCAAGCUGGACCAU